UUUAUAAGGGACCACUGAAUGGCUUUAUGGCAUGCUUGGGAAUGACAGAAGUCAAAUCAAACAACAUGAAAUUGUGCACCUUCUUUUGUGUGCAUUCAUUAGAAGGACUUGGAAAAUCAAAUAAUCAGGUAUCGGUAUUUGUCUUUUGUACAGAAACAAUAUUGUAAAAAGGCCCUUUGAUGAAUUCGUAAAUUAAGGCAAGGAGAUGCUUACUUAAAAUGUCGAAAGCCCCCACAGAUCUAAUACUCCAAACCAAAAAUUAUAUGCAGCACUGAUAGUAGAUUUUUUCAUCCUAUCUAAAUAUGAAAAAGUAUUAUAUGUUAUAUUGGCAUUUAGGCGAAAUCUUUCCCUUAUAAGGUGUUUGACAUAAAUAGCUGUAUUAUGUAACUCUUCGAUAGAAGGCAUACACACAUCUCUUAAAGGAUCCAGCUGCUGUUGUUAUCACUGGAGGCAUAAAAUUGGAAUCCCAACUUCCAAUAUCAAAUUUUAGCACAAACCCUAUAAAAUGUAUCUUGUCAGAAUGUGCCAGAACCGCUAAGCUCUUUUCGGCUGAACAAAUUGCAGCUGGUGUCCUUAAAGGUCGAGAAUCAACUUGCUGUAUCCUCAGGGUUUAGGCAGCAAAUUGGUCCCAGUUUUCACCCUGCCGCAGGGCCGGCUGGGGAGGGCAGGGGUUUAGAUUAGCCAUGGCCUAGGCCGUUUGACGGGGUGACACGAGCCUGCCUGGCCGAGUCCAAGGCCUGGAGAUAGGACCAACCGUCAGGAAUGCGAGGAAUGUUUUUCUUCGGACUCUAUCGAGGCACACAGACAGACCAUGGGGAUUCUGUCUGCAGUGACAGCCUUAACAUUUGCCAGAGCCCUGGACGGCUGCAGAAAUGGCACUGCCCACCCUGCAAGUGAGAAGCACAGACUCGAGAAAUGUAGGGAACUCGAGAGCAGCCACUCGGCCCCAGGAUCAACCCAGAACCGAAGAAAAACAACCGAGAGAAAUUAUUCUUCAGCCUGAAAUGAAACCGGGAUCAAAUGGUUGCUGAUCAGAGCACAUAUUUAAAUUGGAAACGUCAAAUUGAGCAUUAUUAAAUAAAGCUUGUUUAAUAUGUCUGAAACAGAAAA